rnacentral:lncRNA from 1 species
GUCACCCCGCCCCGGGACCGCUGUGUACGACCGAUCUCCCCGGCGCCGCCUCCGCCAAGGCACGUCCCGGGUGGCGUGAUGGGCCCGGGCCACCAGGCGCCCGCCCGCCCCGAGGCCCCGCCCCGUGUCCGCGCGUGGGGCCCCGGCCGGGCGGGGGCGGGGGCGGGGGCGGUGCCGGCCUCCGGGGACUGGAGGGGGAUGGGGUCCCGCAUGGCUAAAUAACUCCUUGGCGCCUCCUGCUCUGCUGUGCCGCCAGGGCCUCCCCUAGCGCGCCUUCUGGAGAGGCUUUGUGCGGAUACGGGGCUGGAGGCCUGGUGGGGCUGUGUCCGGGGGCUCGCCGGGGGUGUGGGGAGGUCUGCGUUCCUCACCCUCCCUCCUUCCUUCCCUCCCUCCCUCCACCCCGCGUGUGAUUGCUCAGGAAGAGACGGGAGGGGAGAGGAGGGUCGCCAGAAGUUGCUGAAAGCGCUUGGAUCCUGAUCAUUUUCACUGAGUGCGUUCUAGAACCAGGAGUCCUACUUCCUGCCUUUACAGAUGGGAAACUGGGCUCAGAGAGGUGGAGUGACCAUCCCCCGAGAGUUAGCUAGGAGUCACAGCAGGGCCCGGGCUGUGACUAGGCCUGAGCUCUUGUCCACCCUUAGAACCCUAGAACCUGGGAGUCCAGGCCCCUGCGCAGCCCCUUCCUUCCGCCGCCCACGUUUUAACCCCAGGUCUGCCAGGGCUGUGAUGUCCUGGGCGAGGGUGCCCAACUCCAGGGGCUGGGCUGAUGAGGCAGGAAUGCCGGGUAUAAUUAUUACAUGCUUGUUACCACUAUCAUGGCUGUUAGGGCUUAAUGAGCCACUAUUAAGACUGGCUGGGAAGGGGGUGUGAGGGAGGAGAGAUGGACCCACCCCACCAAUACUCAC